rnacentral:rRNA from 1 species
ACAUAGCUUUUAGCAAAAGAUCUUAGAUCUGAAGUAAUAAAGGUGAAACCUGCCCAAUGAUUGCACCCCAAUCCAAAUAAUAAUAGAAGUUAUUUGAAUAAAGGCAAUUAAAUGGCCGCAGUAACUGUGACUGUGUUAAUGUAGCGUAGUAAAUCGUCAAUUAAUUGUUGACAAGCAUGAAAGGUUUAACUAGUGUCUCACUGUCUCAAGAGAAAAACCAGCGAAUUUGAAAUUGUAGUGAAGAUGCUACAUAAAAAUUGUAAGACGAGAAGACUCUAUUGAACUUUACUGGAGAUUUAUAUUGUUUUUUUUAUGAUUAAUAUAUAGACUAUGUGGACUUCUUUUUGAAAAAUCCACUUAUUAAUAAUAAUUAAAACAGUCAAUAAGGUAUCUUAUUUUGAUGUAAGUUGGACAGUUUGAUUGGGAGGAUCGCCUUCUAAAAAGUAACGAAGAGCAUGCAAAAAGGUCAAUAGCACAAUAGAAUUGGACGACGGCCUGACAGUGAGGGAGACACCCAAAUUGACACAGAUUCUUUAUUUUGAGAGGAAUUCUGUGAGUUAUAGUGACCCGUUAGUUAAGAGUGAAAUUGCUAACGAUCAAUGAAUAAAAGUUACCAUAGAGAUAACAGAGUAAUAUCAUUUGAGAGUUCGUAUUGAUGAUGAUGUU